rnacentral:rRNA from 1 species
AUUGAACGCUGGCGGCAUGCCUUACACAUGCAAGUCGAACGGCAGCACGGGAGCAAUCCUGGUGGCGAGUGGCGAACGGGUGAGUAAAGUAUCGGAACGUGCCCAGUCGUGGGGGAUAACGUAGCGAAAGUUACGCUAAUACCGCAUACGAUCUAUGGAUGAAAGCGGGGGAUCGCAAGACCUCGCGCGAUUGGAGCGGCCGAUAUCAGAUUAGGUAGUUGGUGGGGUAAAGGCUCACCAAGCCGACGAACUGUAGCUGGCCUGAGAGGACGACAGGCCACACUGGGACUGGGACACGGCCCAGACUCCUACGGGGGGAAGCAGUGGGGAAUUUUGGACAAUGGGCGAAAGCCUGAUCCAGCCAUGCCGCGUGCAGGAUGAAGGCCUUCGGGUUGUAAACUGCUUUUGUACGGAACGAAAAGGUUUGGCCUAAUAAGCUGAGCUCAUGACGGUACCGUAAGAAUAAGCACCGGCUAACUACGUGCCAGCCGCCGCCGUAA